CGUGCCGACCCGCCUAAUCGUGAUUCCACGAGCCGGGGACCCACAUGCACGUCCGGGGUGAAUCCGCGAGCCACGGCCCGCGGUAGGGCGAUCUUCCCGCCCGAAUCCGUCAGCUAACCCGGUAGGCGGUGCCGGAAGGAGUU
rfam:Micromonospora avicenniae strain DSM 45758 genome assembly, contig: Ga0111705_105